CGUAGAGAAAUCGAGUCUUAAUAGGGCGUUUAGUUGCUGGGUAUAGACCCGAAACCAGGCGAUCUAUCCAUGAGCAGGUUGAAGGUUGGGUAACACUAACUGGAGGACCGAACCCACUGUCGUUGAAAAGCCAGGGGAUGACUUGUGGAUAGGGGUGAAAGGCUAAUCAAGCCUGGUGAUAGCUGGUUCUCCCCGAAAGCUAUUUAGGUAGCGCCUCGGACGAAUACCAUAGGGGGUAGAGCACUGUUUCGGCUAGGGGGUCAUCCCGACUUACCAAACCGAUGCAAACUCCGAAUACCUAUGAGUACUAUCCGGGAGACAGACUGCGGGUGCUAACGUCCGUAGUCAAGAGGAAAACAAUCCAGACCGCCAGCUAAGGCCCCAAAAUCAUAGUUAAGUGGGAAACGAUGUGGGAAGGCAUAGACAGCUAGGAGGUUGGCUUAGAAGCAGCCACCCUUUAAAGAAAGCGUAAUAGCUCACUAGUCGAGUCGGCCUGCGCGGAA
rnacentral:rRNA from 1 species